UCGAGCGGUAAGGCCCUUCGGGGUACACGAGCGGCGAACGGGUGAGUAACACGUGGGUGAUCUGCCUCGCACUCUGGGAUAAGCCUGGGAAACUGGGUCUAAUACCGGAUACGACCUCUGGGUGCAUGCCUGGUGGUGGAAAGGUUUACUGGUGCGAGAUGGGCCCGCGGCCUAUCAGCUUGUUGGUGGGGUAACGGCCUACCAAGGCGACGACGGGUAGCCGACCUGAGAGGGUGAUCGGCCACACUGGGACUGAGACACGGCCCAGACUCCUACGGGAGGCAGCAGUGGGGAAUAUUGCACAAUGGGCGAAAGCCUGAUGCAGCGACGCCGCGUGAGGGAUGACGGCCUUCGGGUUGUAAACCUCUUUCGACAGGGACGAAGCGCAAGUGACGGUACCUGUAGAAGAAGCACCGGCCAACUACGUGCCAGCAGCCGCGGUAAUACGUAGGGUGCGAGCGUUGUCCGGAAUUACUGGGCGUAAAGAGCUUGUAGGCGGUUCGUCGCGUCGAUUGUGAAAACUUGCAGCUCAACUGCAAGCUUGCAGUCGAUACGGGCGGACUAGAGUACUUCAGGGGAGACUGGAAUUCCUGGUGUAGCGGUGAAAUGCGCAGAUAUCAGGAGGAACACCGGUGGCGAAGGCGGGUCUCUGGGAAGUAACUGACGCUGAGAAGCGAAAGCGUGGGUAGCGAACAGGAU
rnacentral:rRNA from 1 species